rnacentral:rRNA from 1 species
UCGGGAAUUUUGGGCAAUGGGCGAAAGCCUGACCCAGCAACGCCGCGUGAGGGAUGAAGUAUUUCGGUAUGUAAACCUCGACAGAAUGGGAAGAAUAAAUGACGGUACCAUUUAUAAGCUCCGGCUAACUACGUGCCAGCAGCCGCGGUAAUACGUAGGGAGCAAGCGUUGUUCGGAUUUACUGGGCGUAAAGGGCGCGUAGGCGGCGCGGUAAGUCACUUGUGAAAUCUCCGCGCUUAACUCAGAACGGCCAAGUGAUACUGCUGGGCUAGAGUGCGGAAGAGGCAACCGGAAUUCUUGGUGUAGCGGUGAAAUGCGCAGAUAUCAAGAGGAACACCUGAGGCGAAGGCGGGUUGCUGGGCCGACACUGACGCUGAUGCGCGAAAGCCAGGGGAGCAAACG